rnacentral:rRNA from 1 species
GAUGAACGCUAGCGGCAGGCUUAAUACAUGCAAGUCGAGGGGCAGCGGGGGUAGCAAUACCUGCCGGCGACCGGCAAACGGGUGCGGAACACGUACACAACCUUCCUUUAAGUGGGGGAUAGCCCAGAGAAAUUUGGAUUAAUACCCCGUAAUAUUGUUGAAUGGCAUCAUUUAACAAUUAAAGCCCAGGCGCUUGGAGAUGGGUGUGCGUCUGAUUAGGUAGUUGGUGUGGGUAAAGGCCUACCAAGCCUACGAUCAGUAACUGGUGUGAGAGCACGACCAGUCACACGGGCACUGAGACACGGGCCCCGACUCCUACGGGAGGCAGCAGUAAGGAAUAUUGGUCAAUGGACGCAAGUCUGAACCAGCCAUGCCGCGU